CCUACGGGGGGCUGCAGUAAGGAAUAUUGGUCAAUGGAGGAAACUCUGAACCAGCCAUCCCGCGUGAAGGAUGAAGGGGCUCUGCCUUGUAAACUUCUUUUGUCUGGGGCGAAAAAGCUCGAUUUAUCGAGAACUGACGGUACCAGAAGAAUAAGCACCGGCUAACUCCGUGCCAGCAGCCGCGGUAAUACGGAGGGUGACAGCGUUACCCGGAUUCAAGGGGUUGAAGGGGUGUUUAGGCGGCUGUGGUGAAAGGCUGGGGCUUAACCAUGGAAUUGCCAUUGAUACUGCAGAGCUUGAAUGAGGUUGAGGUUGGCGGAAUGUGACAUGUAGCGGUGAAAUGCUUAGAUAUGUCAUGGAACACCGAUUGCGAAGGCAGCUGACUGGACCUAUAUUGACGCUGAGGCACGAAAGCGUGGGGAGCGAACAGGAUUAGAUACCCCUGUAGUC
rnacentral:rRNA from 1 species